GACGAACGCUGGCGGCGUGCCUAAUACAUGCAAGUAGAACGCUGAAACUUGGUGCUUGCACCGAGCGGAUGAGUUGCGAACGGGUGAGUAACGCGUAGGUAACCUGCCUGGUAGCGGGGGAUAACUAUUGGAAACGAUAGCUAAUACCGCAUAAGAGUAGAUGUUGCAUGACAUUUGCUUAAAAGGUGCAAUUGCACCACUACCAGAUGGACCUGCGUUGUAUUAGCUAGUUGGUGGGGUAACGGCUCACCAAGGCGACGAUACAUAGCCGACCUGCGAGGGUGAUCGGCCACACUGGGACUGAGACACGGCCCAGACUCCUACGGGAGGCAGCAGUAGGGAAUCUUCGGCAAUGGACGGAAGUCUGACCGAGCAACGCCGCGUGAGUGAAGAAGGUUUUCGGAUCGUAAAGCUCUGUUGUAAGAGAAGAACGAGUGUGAGAGUGGAAAGUUCACACUGUGACGGUAUCUUACCAGAAAGAGACGGCUAACUACGUG
rnacentral:rRNA from 1 species